AGAGCCUGUUCAUGGCUCAGGAUGAACGCUGGCGGCGUGCUUAACACAUGCAAGUCGAACGAACCUUCGGGUUAGUGGCGGACGGGUGAGUAACGCGUGAGAAUCUGCCCUCAGGAGGGGGAUAACAGCUGGAAACGGCUGCUAAUACCCCAUAUGCCGCGAGGUGAAAUGAAUUUCGCCUGAGGAUGAGCUCGCGUCUGAUUAGCUAGUUGGUGUGGGUAAUGGCUCACCAAGGCAUCGAUCAGUAGCUGGUCUGAGAGGAUGAUCAGCCACACUGGGACUGAGACACGGCCCAGACUCCUACGGGAGGCAGCAGUGGGGAAUUUUCCGCAAUGGGCGAAAGCCUGACGGAGCAACGCCGCGUGAGGGAUGAAGGCCUCUGGGCUGUAAACCUCUUUUAUCAAGGAAGAAGAUCUGACGGUACUUGAUGAAUAAGCCACGGCUAAUUCCGUGCCAGCAGCCGCGGUAAUACGGGAGUGGCAAGCGUUAUCCGGAAUUAUUGGGCGUAAAGCGUCCGCAGGCGGCCCUUCAAGUCUGCUGUUAAAAAGUGGAGCUUAACUCCAUCAUGGCAGUGGAAACUGAGGGGCUUGAGUGUGGUAGGGGCAGAGGGAAUUCCCGGUGUAGCGGUGAAAUGCGUAGAUAUCGGGAAGAACACCAGUGGCGAAGGCGCUCUGCUGGGCCAUCACUGACGCUCAUGGACGAAAGCCAGGGGAGCGAAAGGGAUUAGAUACCCCUGUAGUCCUGGCCGUAAAACGAUGAACACUAGGUGUCGGGGGAAUCGACCCCCUCGGUGUCGUAGCCAACGCGUUAAGUGUUCCGCCUGGGGAGUACGCACGCAAGUGUGAAACUCAAAGGAAUUGACGGGGGCCCGCACAAGCGGUGGAGUAUGUGGUUUAAUUCGAUGCAACGCGAAGAACCUUACCAGGGUUUGACAUCCUGCGAAUCUCUUGGAAACGAGAGAGUGCCUUCGGGAGCGCAGUGACAGGUGGUGCAUGGCUGUCGUCAGCUCGUGUCGUGAGAUGUUGGGUUAAGUCCCGCAACGAGCGCAACCCACGUCUUUAGUUGCCAGCAUUUAGUUGGGCACUCUAGAGAGACCGCCGGUGAUAAACCGGAGGAAGGUGUGGAUGACGUCAAGUCAUCAUGCCCCUUACAUCCUGGGCUACACACGUACUACAAUGCUACGGACAAAGGGCAGCAAGUUCGCGAGGACAAGCAAAUCCCAUAAACCGUGGCUCAGUUCAGAUCGUAGGCUGCAACUCGCCUACGUGAAGGAGGAAUCGCUAGUAAUCGCAGGUCAGCAUACUGCGGUGAAUACGUUCCCGGGCCUUGUACACACCGCCCGUCACACCAUGGAAGUUGGCCACGCCCGAAGCCGUUACUCCAACCCUUGUCAGGGGGGACGUCGAAGGUGGGGCUGAUGAAAGGGGUGAAGUCGUAACAAGGUAACCUA
rnacentral:rRNA from 1 species